rnacentral:rRNA from 1 species
UACGUAGGGUGCGAGCGUUGUCCGGAAUUAUUGGGCGUAAAGAGCUCGUAGGCGGUCUGUCGCGUCGAAUGUGAAAACCCGGGGCUCAACUCCGGGCUUGCAUUCGAUACGGGCAGGCUAGAGUUCGGUAGGGGAGUCUGGAAUUCCUGGUGUAGCGGUGAAAUGCGCAGAUAUCAGGAGGAACACCGAUGGCGAAGGCAGGUCUCUGGGCCGAUACUGACGCUGAGGAGCGAAAGCGUGGGGAGCGAACAGG